GCGGUACUUGCUGCUGGGGCUGGCGGCUUGCUCGCCUGGGCGACUAGUUCUGGCCUGGUCAGUCGGCGGCCGACAUCCUGUCUGGGGCGGCGUCCCACAGAUGAGGCCUUCCUCCUGAAGACCCUGCUGAAAAUGGAGGAGUCGGUGCUGGUGAUACCCCCUCGGGGCCGCCUCUACCAUUGGCAGAGCCUGGACAUCCACCAGGUCCAGAUUCCCUGGUCUGACUUUUUUGAUCUCUCAAGUCUCAACAGAAACAUCCCUGACACUGAAUACGAACAGUUCAUUGCAGCAGGUGAGGCCGGGACCUGCAGGACUGAGGGGAGAGCCAGGCUGUCUGCAUCCAGACCUGGGGCACUUGGAGUGUGAAGAAGCCCCGUCCUCACUGCCCCUGAAGUGAGGAAAACACCCUCAGUGUCACCCGGAGGAAUUCAGGAGGUGUUUAGACCCAGUGGAGACUAACGGCAUCUUGGUUCCUCAUCAACCUGGCAAACCCACCAGCCCUCUAUGGCCAGACCUUGGCAAGUGCCUUCCCUUGUUCUAACAAAACCCUUUCCACCCACGCCUGUGGUAUGCUUUUAUUUUUUUUAAUUAGUGGGAAUGAAGAUACCUUACAGCCUCCUCAGACCUUUCCUUGGGGCUUCUGCCCUUAGACCCCUGCAAGGGGGCCGUCUGCCCUGGGUCCUGCACUACAGAGGGUCCCUCUGGCCCUGACACUUCCUCUGGCCAUGCCCUCCAUGGGGUGGAGUCAGCAGGGCCAAGGGGACACGGUCAUUGGCUCCGCCCCGUGCUCUAGAAACCCAGGACCCCAAAUGCCCUGUCUCAGCAGCCCCUGACCCAUUUCUAGUGCCUGCAUCAGCUCUCCCCGGAGUUCAGAUUCCUAGGACUCACAGAGAGGCCAAAGCAUAGCUGUUUGCAUGGAGGGUAUGAGCAGAGCCCGGACAUGAGGUCUGAGUGUCCCCCUGUGCACAUCCAAGGCCCCUUGUGGCAAGGGAUGGACCCAGCAUUGGGAAGAAAAGGGUCAGGCUAGUAAUCAGAGACUGGGAAUCGUCUCUCCCCACAUGCUCACUUUCUUUGCUGGACUCCCCUGUGUCUGGGAAUUCUAAAUUUGAGCCUGGCCUUCCCCCUUAUAAUGAAUGUAUAUUUGUAA